rnacentral:tRNA from 1 species
GGAUCUUUAGUUUAAUUUUAGAAUUUUGUUUUUGUAAUGCAAUGGUAUUUUUAAAAUAAGAUCCU